UAGGGAAUCUUCCGCAAUGGACGCAAGUCUGACGGAGCAACGCCGCGUGAGUGAAGAAGGAUUUCGGUUCGUAAAACUCUGUUGUUAGAGAAGAACAGCGCAUAGAGUAACUGUUAUGCGUGUGACGGUAUCUAACCAGAAAGCCACGGCUAACUACGUGCCAGCAGCCGCGGUAAUACGUAGGUGGCAAGCGUUGUCCGGAUUUAUUGGGCGUAAAGCGAGCGCAGGCGGUCAAUUAAGUCUGAUGUGAAAGCCCCCGGCUCAACCGGGGAGGGUUCUUAGAAACUGGUUGACUUGAGUGCAGAAGAGGAGAGUGGAAUUCCAUGUGUAGCGGUGAAGUGCGUAGAUAUAUGGAGGAACACCAGUGGCGAAGGCGACUCUCUGGUCUGUAACUGACGCUGGGGCUCGAAAGCGUGGGUAGCAAACAGG
rnacentral:rRNA from 1 species